rnacentral:rRNA from 1 species
GACGAACGCUGGCGGCGUGCCUAAUACAUGCAAGUAGAACGCACAGUUUAUACCUUAGCUUGCUACACCAUACACUGUGAGUUGCGAACGGGUGAGUAACGCGUAGGUAACCUGCCUGGUAGCGGGGGAUAACUAUUGGAAACGAUAGCUACUACCGCAUAAUAUUGAUUAUUGCAUGAUAAUUGAUUGAAAGAUGCUAUUGCAUCACUACCAGAUGGACCUGCGUUGUAUUAGCUAGUAGGUGAGGUAACGGCUCACCUAGGCGACGAUACAUAGCCGACCUGAGAGGGUGAUCGGCCACACUGGGACUGAGACACGGCCCAGACUCCUACGGGAGGCAGCAGUAGGGAAUCUUCGGCAAUGGACGAAAGUCUGACCGAGCAACGCCGCGUGAGGGAAGAAGGGUUUCGGAUCGGAAAGCUCUGUUGUAAGAGAAGAACGGGUGUGAGAGUGGAAAGUUCACACUGUGACGGUAGCUGACCAGAAAGGGACGGCUAACUACGUG